UCAUCUGGAUGAGGUUCUGCUUGUUCUAUUUCAUCUGCUUUAGUUUGAUCAGGAUCAGGUUCUUUAUGACCUUGGUUGAAAUGGGCUUGAUCUACCAGGGUUUCAGUUGUUAUUUGAUGACGAGGAUCAUGUCUUGCCAUACUUGUGCAUCCCAAAAUGUUCAAUCGUGCUUCUCCAUCAUCAGGAUCUGGUUCACCUAUGGUCUCUCUUGUUAGAAUCUUGGUGUCCAGAAUCUCCAUCACCAUAGGUUCAACUACAUUUCCAAAACUUGAAGCACCUGAACCAUCAGGAUCAGGCUCUUCACUUGAACACAUGGCUGCUGAUUUCCCAAGAGUCUUCUGAGAAUCGUUUUUAGUAGAUUCAGAAUGAUGUUUCAGUAGCAGAGUUUCACCAUGCAGCAAAUCAUCUGGAUCUGGUUCAAACUUGUUCUGAUUUCUAGAAAGGUCAUCAGGAUCUGGUUCAUAAGCAAGUUUCCCCACAGGCCUAAUUGGACUUUGAAUAUCUAGAUUUUCAUUUCCAUCAUGAAUGGUCAACCCAGAGUCUUGGAUUCUCUGUAAUUUUUGAUCAUCCGGAUCAGGCUCAUCAAUUUUCAUAUCAUAUAUUCCCAGCUGUAGCAAUAACUUAUCAUCUCGAUGAGGCUCUGCUCGUGCUAUUUCAUCUGCUUUAGUUUCAUCAGGAUCAGGUUCUUUAUGACCUUGGUUGAAACAGGCUUGAUCUACCAAGGUUUCAGUUGUUAUGUGAUGUCCAGGAUCAUGUCUUGCCAUGCUUGGGCAUCCCAAAAUGUUCGAUUGUGCUUCUCCAUCAUCAGGAUCUGGUUCAUCUAUGGUCUCUCUUGUCAGAAUCUUGGUGUCCAGAAUCUCCAUCACCACAGGUUCAACUACAUUUCCAAAACUUGAAGCACCUGAAUCAUCAGGAUCAGGCUCUUCACUUGAACAUAUGGCUGCUGAUUUCCCAAGAGUCUUCUGAGAAUCAUUUUUAGUAGAUGCAGACUGAUGUUUCAGUAGCAGAGUUUCACCAUGCAGCAAAUCAUCUGGAUCAGGUUCAAACUUGUUAUGAUUGCUAGAAAGGUCAUCAGGAUAUGGUUCAUAAGCAAGUUUCCUCAAAGACCUAAUUGGACUUUGAAUAUCUAGAUUUUCAUUUCCAUUGUGAAUAGUCAAACCAGAGUCUUGGAUUCUCUGUAAUUCUUGAUCAUCCGGAUCGGGCUCAUCAAUUUUCAUAUCAUAUAUUCCCAGCUGUGGCAAUAACUUAUCAUCUCGAUGAGGAUCUGCUUGUGCUAUUUCAUCUGCUUUAGUUUCAUCAGGAUCAGGUUCUUUAUGGCCUUGAUUGAAAUGGGCUUGAUCUACCAAGGUUUCAGUUGUUAUGUGAUGACGAGGAUCAUGUCUUGCCAAGCUUGUGCAUCCCAAAAUGUUCGAUUGUGCUUCUCCAUCAUCAGGAUCUGGUUCAUCUAUGGUCUCUCUUGUCAGAAUCUUGGUGUCCAGAAUCUCCAUCACCAUAGGUUCAACUACAUUUCCAAAACUUGAAGCACCUGAAUCAUCAGGAUCGGGCUCUUCACUUGAACACAUGGCUGCUGAUUUCCCAAGAGUCUUCUGAGAAAUGUUUUUAGUAGAUUCAGAAUG
rnacentral:lncRNA from 1 species